GAGAAUGUGGCUUAGAGGUAGAGUGCUUGCCUAGCAUGCAUGAGGUCCUGGGUUUGAUUCCCCAGUAUCA
rnacentral:tRNA from 1 species